GGCAGAAUUAUUGUGAGAAAUGAUGGACCAAUAAUAGAUUCUUAUCAAGAUUAUACUGUUUCUGUCAGUUCGGAUGAUGCCCUAAGCAGCUCAGAUGAGAAUCUCCUGAAAUUCAUAGUCUUCAAUGCUUGUUUUGGCACAUCUUGGACUGUGAUUGCUGGUUUGAUGGAUCCAAAUGCUGUUAAGCAGUUGGAGAAAGAGCACCUUAUACAAAUGGGGACGACAGUGCUUUCCAUGCAGAAUUUGUGGGCUAUGGAAGUUCAAUACAUGAAUACUCUCAGCGAGGCGAGGAACAUUAUUGAACAACUGAUAGACAGGUAAUUAUUCAUAUAGACGGGUAAUUAUUCAUGCUGCUAAAUUUGAAAGUAUGGAUGUUUCUAAAUAUUACGCCCAUGCCGUUUUCCCCAACACGAUGUGGUGGUAUAGCUGGAAGUGUAAACUCCUGUUGCAUUUCUAUGACCUUUUGGCCUUUUGCUUCCCACAUCCAUAAAGUCCUCUUCAGCUGGGCUAUAAAUCUAGUAAAUUGUAUAUAUGCAACAUCUUUAGGGUAACACCAUACAGAUUUAAACUUUCAUGUAAUAUACAUGUGUGUGGCCGA
rnacentral:misc_RNA from 1 species